CCUACGGGUGGCAGCAGUGAGGAAUAUUGGUCAAUGGACGCGAGUCUGAACCAGCCAAGCAGCGUGAAGGAUGACUGCCCUAUGGGUUGUAAACUUCUUUUAUACGGGGAUAAAAUGAGACACGCGUAUCUUUCUGAAUGUAUCUUAUGAAUAAGGAUCGGCUAACUCCGUGCCAGCAGCCGCGGUAAUACGGAGGAUUCGAGCGUUAUCCGGAUUUAUUGGGUUUAAAGGGUGCGUAGGUGGUCUGUUAAGUCAGUUGUGAAAGUCUGCGGCUCAACUGUGAAAUUGCAGUUGAUACUGGCAGGCUAGAGUACAGUAGCGGUAGGCGGAAUUUGUGGUGUAGCGGUGAAAUGCUUAGAGAUCACGCAGAACUCCGAUUGCGAAGGCAGCUUACUAAGCUACUACUGACAUUGAGGCACGAAAGUGUGGGUAUCAAACAGGAUUAGAUACCCGAGUAGUC
rnacentral:rRNA from 1 species